AUUGAACGCUGGCGGCAGGCCUAACACAUGCAAGUCGAACGAUUGGCGGACGGGUGAGUAAUGUCUGGGAAACUGCCUGAUGGAGGGGGAUAACUACUGGAAACGGUAGCUAAUACCGCAUACCAUCAGAUGUGCCCAGAUGGGAUUAGCUAGUUGGUGGGGUAACGGCUCACCAAGGCGACGAUCCCUAGCUGGUCUGAGGGGAUGACCGGCCACACUGGAACUGAGCGACGGUCAGGACUCCUAGGGGAGGCAGCAGUGGGGAAUAGUGCACGAUGGGCGCAAGCCUGAUGCAGCCAUGCAGCGUGUAUGAAGGAGGCCGUCGGGUUGUAGAGUACUUUCAGCGGGGAGGCGUUACCCGCAGAAGAAGCACCGGCUAACUCCGUGCCAGCCGCCGCGGUAAUUC
rnacentral:rRNA from 1 species